rfam:Candidatus Levybacteria bacterium RIFCSPLOWO2_01_FTLL_42_15 rifcsplowo2_01_scaffold_7460, whole genome shotgun sequence.
GCACCCGUAGCUUAAUGGAUAAAGCAUUGGAUUGCGGAUCCAAAGAUUGGUGGUUCGAGUCCACUCGGGUGCG